GUGUGGAGCCCGUUUGGAUAAAACGGCGACGUUUGGAGUCGUCUCCCCCCUCUACGUACCCGCAGAAAUCACCUCUGUUCCGCCUUCAUGGAUUACAGGAGGACAGGCGGCGGCGCUUCAUCUUACCAGAAACUAGAAGAUGGAAGAUUGUGUGCUUGAGUCCUUGCUUGAUGCCGUGGACAGGUUCCCGCUCCGGGAGGAGUUCGUCGAUAGCUUGGAUCACACAGAUCCGGUGCCUCUGGCCUUUCUGCUGGAGAGCUUGGCCAACGGUGGAGUCCCGGGGGACUCAAACAAUGGGUCUGGUUGCGGGCAGCAGAUCGGCAGCGCUGUCCCGGAGAGAGCACACGGGGUGGUGUGCCGUCGUCCGGAUGCUUCUCCUACUUAGUCGGCGCAGUCAACUGACAGAAUCAACCGGCAAGCCCCCGCUGGACGAAAAGGUCUGAACCCCAAACACUGUCAUUGUAGAAUUGCAUUUGUUCAGAGUGUUUGCCCCACGUUCAUGUAGCCAAACAAAAAAAAAGAAUAUCUGAGCUCACAGUAGCACGAAUGAAAAAUGCAGGAACUGAUCUAUGCAGCAGUAGAAAUGUAAACCAUGGUAGGCGAUCGUAACAGUAUAGCUGCUGUAACUACUUUUAUGCAAAUUCAGCUGGAAGUAUUUUACUAUUGAAGGCCGGUUUGUAAAUUUAGGUUACGACUCGGUAGUGCACCACCAGACAGGACUCCAUGCCCAUCACGGAUGAGUGCAUUGGAACAAUCUAUUCGGAAGUAUGUGGAACCUAUGAAAAGUUUAGUACAUCCCACACUAGGCCUAAGUUUCAGUUCAUUGUGAGAGGCGACUUCUAUAAGAGCCGGCUAAACGCCGAAAGGACAAAGUCAAUGCAAGAAAUUGUCUGCGGCUGCUCGGUAAAAACUGAUUCAUGUAAUUAUCGUUUUGGAAAAUAAGUGGCAGCCAUGGGUUUCGGUGCUGCAAGUGUGUUUAAAUGAUGGCAUUUGUGUUUUUAUCAAAUUAUACAGGGGAAACAAGAGGCAGAGAAUAGUAGGUCAUGCCACUAUGAGUGUCCUGCAUUUAUAAGGCUGCUACGCACGAUCCACAACAGCUGGUACAUAAUAGAGCAAGGACAUGGCCCAUGACAAAUAUAACAAAGGCUAUCUGGAAACAAUCUUUUUCAAGCUUGCUGGAAUUCUUGUUGAUGUCGCGCAAAAGGAACUCUUCUGCUGCACGCAAGCUGUGAACCCCUAUCUUAUUCAUUUCAAGUGAUACCUAUAAGAACUAAAUUGCUUCAGGGUUUAUGUUGGCAUCCGUGCCUUUGAUUUUGCGAUGACUGCAAGGGAUCCCAAAAACCUUGUAUACAUCCUCAGCCCAGAACUUGAGGACCUUGAUGUCUGUCAGCACUAUCUCUCUCCAACUGACACUUACCCUGCUCAUUAUCCAAGAGAAGGUAACAACCGAAGCUGAUAAUGCAUGUAUUACAUGUAAAAUAGGAGUGGAAGAGGUGCUGUCCAGAUACAUGAAAAAUUGUACUGUUCAGUUAAAAUUCGAGGAAGAGAAUAAGAGAUACGGUGAGUUCCUGUUCAAUCCAUUUUUGUUGCCUUGCCUAUCAUGCCUUCAUUGAACCGAAAAAAUGGACUACGACAAGAAUAGACAAGUUUAUAUUUAGGCAUUUCUGCAAAACAGAAGACACAACUUUGCCAGCUCAGCUCAACUUUGCCAUAGGCCACGAUCAUCACAAACAGCAUGAGAACCACUUGAUCUUGGACUUCUGAAGAUGCGUCUGGCCUGCGCAGCUCAACUUUGCCAUAGGCCAACUGGCAUCCGCUGGCGACAAAGCUUAGGCAUAGUCUGGUCUUGAAGUUGCUCGCAUGACUCAUUGGCUUCCUGAGCUUCCCAUCACCGCCUUGACCCAGCUGUUCAUCUUUUUUCGUAAUAGCUUGAUCAUGUCCAUUGUGGCUGCUUGUAAAGUGAUGGAGGAAACGACAGUCAUCGCCGAAGCGGUAGUCGCUGCUGCUGCGCAUUGACAAAAAAAAUAGAUCCACCGCAAGGAAAAUGAGAGAAAAUAAAUCCAGCUGUUGCAAAGUGAUUGCAGGCAGCAAAUUUUUGUUGUAGAUACAAAAGGUUGUUGUUCACGACAUGCCAUCCUUUCAGAAAAAGAUUUGCUUUUCGAAUGGAACAGCUUGAUAUUUAUGACCGCAGAAAAUUAACCUGGAGGACCUGGUGUAUAUCUUCUUUGAUUUGUUAAAUGCCAACAAAGUCAGUGUAUCUUUUAACUGAAGGAACUGGUUACAUGCUCCCAUACUACUCUCUCCGUCCCAUAAUGUAAGACGUUUUUUGACACUACACUAGAGUCAAAAAACAUCUUACAUUAUGGGAUGGAGGGAGUACUUUCAAAUGCAAAAAAUGUUUUGAGACAUCAAUGCAUGAUUCUAGUUGUUCCCAUGGACUGUUGGUGUGGAAGCAGAUUGAAUGCCGAGAGGACAAAGUCAAUGCAGGAGAUCGUUUGUGGUUGCCCGGGUAAGUCAGAUGCAGAGAAUAGAAGGUCGUGUAGAUGCGAUUGACCUGCAUUAAUACGGCUACUGUGGGCGGCUGACAAUAGUUGGUAUAUAAUAGAGCAUCAUGAGAAUCACAUCCAAGCACAUAGAUGUGUACACGAAUGAUCUGAUACAGCUAGAUGAAGUGGCGCAGGAUGAUGGCGAGGGUGAAGUUGUCCUCAUGGAUGGCAAAGGCGGAACGAGCUGCAAGCAGGAAGUGGGCGUGGACUCAGGUUGCGGUUCUUUUGGAAGAAGGUUUCGGCGAUUUCCCAACCUCCGGCAUGCAGGUCGAAUAAAGUGUUGCUAUAACUGAUGUGGAAAAUGGAUCCGACCGUGUAUGUGCCGAUUGACUUUAGUGACACUUGCUCACACGAAGAGGGGGUCAGUAGCAUCUCCUGUAAGCGUAGGCAAACAAAGAGUUGGUUUUGUUGACUGUCUAUGUCGCUGUGUUUUUUCGGUCUCGCAUGUAGAGCUUUGACUACUAGCGUAGUUAUUGGGGUUUGCAUUUUGGGAGCACUUGUUGAAGGCAGUAGUCUGAUAUGCGUGAGCCAGCUUUUUUGAUUGUCGAAACCAUUGGUGUUGUAAUGUACUCCCUCCGUAAAGAAAUAUAAGAGUGUUUGGAUAACUAUUUUAGUGAUCUAAACGCUCUUACAUUUGUUUACAGAGGGAGUACGACCUUGUUGCCGGAGUGCAUCUGUUAGUACAUUUCUAGUCGUAGUUUUUUGGUCAUGGC